rnacentral:lncRNA from 10 species
CCACCAUGCCUGGCCGAUUUUUUAUUUUAACGUUUUGUUUUAUCUUACUGUUUUUCCUUAGGUGAGAAAAAUGUACCCUUCCAUGCCUGUGCUUUCUAAAUUUUGGGACUGAUACAGAUCCACAGAGGCCACACCUAAAAUUAAAUUAUCGUUAGUGCUAAAACUUAAUUGACUGUGUAUAUAACUGUGCAAUUGCUGUUACUGAUAUAACUGUUUGGGGUUCAUUCAACAGAUUAAAGAAGCAAGGUCUUGCAUUUAACACACAAACUAAUGAGAUACUGCUUUAUACAAGAAUUUUAAAAACACUGUCAUAUGGUUUAGUGUAGUUAAUGUCAUGCUUAUGUCAUAUAACAUAGCAUGUUAGAGUUCUCUAGAGGGACAGAACUAACAGGAUAUAUGUACAUAAGAAAGGGAGUUGAUUGGCCAGGUGUGGCGGCUUAUGCCUGUAAUCCCAGCACUUUGGGAGGCCGAGACAGGUGGAUUAUCUGAGGUCAGCAGUUCGAGACCAGCCUGACCAACAUGGUGAAACCCCAUCCUACUAAAAAAAUACAAAGAUUAGCUGGGCGUGUUGGCAGGUGCCUGUAAUCCCAGCUAUGCAGGAGUCUGAGACAGUAUCACUUGAACCCAGGGGGUGGAGGUUGCGGUGAGCCGAGAUUGUGCCACUGCACUCCAGCCUGGGCAACAGAGUGAGACUCUGUUUCAACAAACAAACAAACAAACAAAGGGGGGGGAGUUUAUUAAGGAUAAUUGACUCACACGUUCACAAGGUCAAGUCCCAUGAUAGGCCGGCCGCAAGUUGAGGAGCAAGGAAGCCAGUGGUGGAUCAGCCUGAGUCCCAAAACCUCAAAAGUAGGGAAGCCAACAGUUCAGCCUUCAGUCUGUGGCCAAAGGCCUGAGAGCCCCCGACAAACCAAUGGUGUAAGUCCAAGAGUCCAAAAGCUGAAGAACUUGGAGUUUCAUGUUCAAGGGCAGGAAGCAUCCAGCACAGGAGAAAAAUGAAAGCUGGAAGACUCAGCAAGUCUGCUCUUCCAUCUUCUCUUGCCUGCUCUAUUCUAGCUGGGCUGGCAGGUGAUUAGAUGGUGCCCACCCAGAUUGAGGGUGGAUCUGCCUGUCCCAGUCCACUGACUCAAAUGUUAAUCUCCUUUGGCAACACCCUCACAGACACACCAGGAACAGUAAUUUGCAUCCUUCAAUCCUAUCAUGUUGAUGCUCAAUAUUAACCAUUAUACAUUGGUUCAAGUUCUUUCUUCAGUCACAAGAGUAACACAGGUAGAAGAGACAAAUGAAUAAGUGCCAAGUCUUGCUGCAGAGUUUCCUUCAUAAGUUUUGUUUGCAACCUGGCCAUUUCUUUUCUAAGGUCACUUUGUUCAUCAGUAAGAUGAACUCUGAUUCUCUUCUAGGUCCUCCAAACUCCGUAGGAAUUGCUGAUUUCAGUUUAAUUUGUUUCAGUGUCUCUGUCUCUGAACCAUUCUAGCUUAUAGACAACUCUUUUGUUGCUCUCGAAACAUUGUAGCUAGUUUUUGUUCCUCUGGUUCCUCAGCCUUCACUGUUCGUGUUCCAAUCUUGAAACAAAGUCAGAAACUGCUUAGAAUAUUUGUAAUGAAGUUUCUGCCUUUCCUCUUGUGUUUUCAAAACAUGUUCAAUUCUCUUCUUAGUGGUGUGGAUAAAAGCAUUCAUAUACUCCUGUAAUCCCAGCACUUUGGGAGGCCGAGACGGGUGGAUCACGAGGUCAGGAGUUCGAGACCAGCCUGGCCAACAUGGUGAAACCCCGUCUCUACUAAAAAUAAAAAAAUUAGCCGAGCAUGGUGGCAGCGCCUGUAAUCCCAGCUAGUCAGGAGGCUGAGGCAGGAGAACUGCUUGAACCCGGGAGGCGGAGGUUGCAGUGAGCCGAGAUCGCGCCAUUGCACCCCAGCUCUGGGCAACAGAACAAGACUCUGUCUCGGAAAAAAAAAAAAAAAAGCAUUCAUAUACAUUCUAGCCUUUUUCUCUGUGUAGCAAAAUCCUGUUUAAUAUCAGCUCCGCUUACUUGUAACUUCUGUACAUCAUCCCCCACGUCUUCCUCAUCUGUUCCUACAAAGUGCUUUCUUUCUCCAUGCUCAUCAGUUCCUGAAUGCUUUCCUCCCAGCUCAUUUCCUGGGCUGCCAUAACCUGGGCCUCCACUGCCUUGGCAACCUUCACGAUGCACUCCCUGUCCACAGGCUCCAUGGCUGGCUGUCCUGGAACUUCUGAACCUUGUGAGUGCAAUGAUGCACUGGAAGUAGGUGGAGAUGUGUGUGAUCUGCAGGCUUGGGUAUCUGGAGGCCAGUGGGCACACUGGACACUCCCUGUGAUCUAAGAACUUAUUUAGGCAGAUAGUGAGGGUAAGGAAGUCCUUGGUAAGGUUUUCCUUUUAAUGAAAAGCAGCCCCCGAAUCAUUUCUUUCCUAACGAAGUGCAGCCUGUAAAAUCAAGCUGCAGACAUAGAUCAGCAAGCUGGAAGCUUGCAGGGGUGAAUGCCAGCAGCUCUGGCAAUAGGAAAAGGCCCCCUGGAGGCUAGGCAUGUUCAACAUGGUGGCUCCAUCUCCCCUUUUUCUUUAUCAACCACAUGUACAGUAAGGAGCAGGCAACGUGGCGCCAGCCAGGUAGAGAAGCCAUUUGUGGCCAGGUGCGGUGGCACACGCCUAUAAUCCCAACACUUUGGGAGGCUGAGGCGGGCAGAUCACCUGAGGUCAGAAGUUCAAGACCAGCCUGGCCAACACGUUGAAAUGGUGUCUCUACUAAAAAUACAAAAAUUAGCUGGGUGUAGUGGCAGGCGUCUGUAAUCCCAGCUACUCAGGAGGCUGAGGCAGGAGAAUCUGUUGAACUUGGGAGGUGGAGGUUGCAGUGAGCCGAGAUCACACCACUGCACUCCAGCCUGGGAAAUAGGAGUGAACCUCCAUCUCAAAAAAAAAAAAAAAAAAAAAAAAAAAAAAAUCCAUUUGCAAAAUAGAUUAGGGUGGGGCGGGGAGCUUCUUCCUGUACUAUGUAAACAUCGCACCUGUUUCAACCAAUCUUUGAGCCCUAUGUAAAUCAGACACUGCCUCCUCAUGCCUGUCCUUGUGCAUGCUGCUGCAGGCUGGAAGACCCACUCAGGUGCCCCUCUCUCUGCAGGAGAGAGAGCUAUUCUCUUUUUCUUUUGCCUAUUAAACCUCUGCUCUUAACCUCACUUCACAUGUGUUCGUGUCCUUGACUUCCUUGGCAUGACGCAGUGAACCUUGGGUAUUACCCCAGAUGAACGACACUGCUUCAUUCCUUGGCAUGAGGCAAUGAUCCUUGGGUCUUACCCCAGAUGAACGACACUGCUUCAUUUUGGGGCCCCAGGUGGGAUCAAGGUAUCAUCAUCAGAACAGUGAGGACAGGAGUGGACCUCAACCAUGUCCUUUCAUUUCAAGGUUCUUGGCCUCCAUUUUAAAAUCAAAUCAAAUACUGGGCCCCCUUCAGCUAUUUAAAAAUGAUUAGUGUGGCUGGCAGCCUUACAAGACUUGGGGGACAGGCUUGCUGGGGAGAACAUUCUGAAGCAGUGGGAAUUUUUACAGUUCAAGGAAGUAAUCCUGUUAGGCAAGAUCAGGAAAUACCGUAGUAACUGAGGUAGAGCUCAAGGCAAUGCCAUUUUUGUGAUUUUCUAGGAACAGUGGGUCUUCCCCUCCUCUCCCCAUAGUGAGGUCUCUCUCUGCCCUUGGUCUGGAGAGCACAUGGCAUUUAAAGGUCAACGGCCCUACCCAGUGGCAUAGGAAUCCUCUCCAUGAGGCACAUUGUCAGCCCUUUGCCAAAACACUCUGGCUUCCCAAUUCUCCUCCCUUUUUGCACCCCUCUGCUGGACACCAGGCUUUAUGCUACUUCCAUAAAUGGGAAAACUCUGUCUUCAACAAUAAGGAGGAAAAUGUCCUCCAAAACCAAAUUUUAGUCUCAAUACUGUCCCAUCAGCAGGAAAAUAGCCAUUUGGUUCCUAUGUUUUUUUUAAGGCACCUAUUCUGCUUGUAAUUAAAAUAGUACUUAAAUAGUAAGGGUAAUUUAAGUCCGGAAGUUAACUGGAACCAUUCUCUAAGGGUACUUUAGCACGAGUCAUAAUAGCAGGAUAUAGAGCUCAAACCAGCACACUUCCUCCAUUAUGGAGGGAAAUACAACAGUUGCCUAAAUGCAACUGUUACAUAGUCUCUCCCAAGAUCCAUUUUUCAGGGAGCCACACAGGUCACACAAGUCUUGGAAGUCAAAAGGAAAUCAUAAGUGCAGGACUAGAGUCACAUGGGUAAGCAUGACUAACCCCAAUCACUUAGUUCCUCUGGUUCCAUGGCUGGGGGUCACACCUGCAACCAUGGGAGGCAUGUUUAACAAGAUGCUGGGACCCAGGAACCAAGGAGGGAAAACAGUAGGGGUGGCGCCCUCACUGUCUUCCCCUUCCCCUCCUCUGGAGUGCGUUCUGAAGCACUGGGACUCCUUUGACUCUGAGAUUUGGAAGAAAAAACAGCUCAUUUUCUUUUGCACAAGAGCAUGGCCUUCUUACUAGACCUUUGCAAGCAUUGCACAAUGGACUCAGCUCUUUCAGCAGUCAUAUCAGACAGGCCCAAAGGGAAUGAUUCCCCAAAACUAGAGAAACAAACUCCCAGGAACCCCUCAAAUGAAACUUCCAGAUGCCCUGGCCCUUCCUCCCUCCCUUUCACAUUGUCAGCUUCUCCAAUUCUACCACCCAAACCCCCAGACUUUUCUAUGGUAUUUUUCCUUCCUUCAUUCAUGAUUUAAAAUGGCUCCUAUCUCUUCUUCUAUAAUGUUCCUCCAAACUGGGAGAAGUUAAUUUCCUCAAACCUUAAAAUGCUUGGCUUAGGGUUGAGCUCGGGGAACAGAACCCAGAAGCCUGACAUGCUGUCAAAAGGGUAAAAAUUUUUAUUUUUAUUUUUAUUUAUUUAUUUUUUUUGAGACAGAGUCUCGCUCUGUUGUCCAGGCUGGAAUGCAGUGGUGCAAUCUCAACUCACUGCAGCCUCUGCCUCCCUGGUUCAAGUGAUUCUCCUGCCUCAGCCUCCUGAGUAGCUGGGACUACAGGCACGUGCCACCACACCCAGCUUGCUCCAUCAACACUGAAUAUUAGUGAUUGAGUUGUUGCCACUACUGGCACUCAGAAAAUUAUCCAGCUGUGGUGGUGUGCACCUGUAGUCCCAGCUACUCCAGAGGCUGAAGUAGGAGGAUCUCUUGAGCUCAGGAGGAGGUCAAGGCUGCAGUGAGCCAAGACCAUGCCACUGCACUACAGCCUGGGUGACAGAGCAAGACCCUGUCCCCCACCCCCCCCCCCAAAAAAAAACAAACAACAACAACAAAGAAAUAUAUUGAAAUAACUGGUAUCUUCAAUACAAUGUUGAAUAAGAGUGGACAUCAUUGGUUCCCAAUCUUAGGGCAAAACUUUCUGAUUUCAUCAUUAAGUAUAUUAGCUGUAGGUGUUUUGUGUAUGCCCUUUAAAAAUUAUUUUAUUUUUUGUAGAGAAGGGUCUUGCUAUGUUGCCCACACUGGUCUUGAACUCCUAGGCUCAAGCAAUCCGCCCAUCUUGUCCUCCCAAAGUCUGGGAUUAUAGGCAUGAGCUACUGCUCCUGGCCUAUGGAUGCCCUUUAUCAGUUUCAGGAAUUCCCUUCUAUUCCUAAUUGGCUGAGAGGUUUAUUUUCCUUUCAUGAAUAGGUAUUAAAUUUUGUCAAAUGCUUUUUCUGCAUCUAUUGAGAUGGUGAUAUGGGUUUUGUCUUAUAGCCUGUUAGUAUAGUAAAUUAUAUUGAUUGAUUUUAAAAUAUUAAGCCAACCUUGUAUUCCUGGGAUGAAACUAACUUGGUCAUGGUGCAUUAUUGUUUGUAUUUACUACUGUAUUCAUUUUGCUAAAUUUUAAAAGGAUUUUUGAAAAAAAUAAAGAGGAUUUUGUGUCUAGAU